rnacentral:rRNA from 1 species
GGCUUCCUACGGGGGGCAGCAGUGGGGAAUAUUGCACAAUGGGGGAAACCCUGAUGCAGCGACGCCGCGUGAGUGAGGAAGUAGUUCGGUAUGUAAAUCUCUAUCAGCAGGGAAGAAAAUGACGGUACCUGACUAAGAAGCCCCGGCUAACUACGUGCCAGCAGCCGCGGUAAUACGUAGGGGGCAAGCGUUAUCCGGAUUUACUGGGUGUAAAGGGAGCGUAGACGGCAGCGCAAGUCUGGAGUGAAAUGCCGGGGCUCAACCCCGGAACUGCUUUGGAAACUGUGCAGCUAGAGUGCGGGAGG